rnacentral:rRNA from 1 species
AGAGUUUGAUCAUGGCUCAGAAUCAACGCUGGCGGCGUGCCUCAGACAUGCAAGUCGAACGAUUAAAGCUCUCUUCGGAGAGUGUAUAGAGUGGCGCACGGGUGAGUAACACGUAAGUAAUCUACCCUCGAGUGGGGAAUAACAACCGGAAACGGUUGCUAAUACCGCAUAAUGCAGCGGCACCGCAAGGUGACAGUUGUUAAAGAUUUAUCGCUUGAGGAGGAGCUUGCGGCAGAUUAGCUAGUUGGUAGGGUAACGGCUUACCAAGGCUACGAUCUGUAACCGGUCUAAGAGGACGGUCGGUCACACUGACACUGAAUAACGGGUCAGACUCCUACGGGAGGCAGCAGUCGGGAAUUUUGGGCAAUGGGCGAAAGCCUGACCCAGCAACGCCGCGUGAAGGAUGAAGUAUUUCGGUAUGUAAACUUCGAAAGAAUAGGAAGAAUUAAUGACAGUACUAUUUAUAAGGUCCGGCUAACUACGUG